UGCGCACAAAAAAAAAACAACAUGGAAACUUUCAAAAGUUGGCGGGUAUCUAUGUAACAAGUCUUACUAUCUUUAUGUCCCAUUUAUGGGCAUUAUGUUUUCUGGUCUGUCCGUCCGUCCUGCUUCAGGUUAAAGUUUAUAGUCGAGGUAGUUUUUUUUAUGAAGUUGAAAUCCAAUCAACUUGAAACUUAGUACACAUGUGCUCCUUAUGAUAUGAUCUUUCUAAUUUUACUGCCAAAUUAAAGAUUUUACCUAAUUUUCACAGUCCACUGAACAUAAAAAAUGAUUGUACGGAUGGGAAAUCCAUUUACUUGUGACACAUUCUUGUUUGAAGAAAAAAAAAUACAUCAUUACGAUAAUGAAACAAAGCAGCCUGUGUUAGUGG
rnacentral:lncRNA from 1 species